UUAUUCUUCCAGCAGUUCCAAAAUAUUAGUCAAUGCUCGAAAGAGUGAACUAGCUAACUGAAAUCAAUUAAAAAAUUGAUAAGAUAAGAGAAAAUAAUGAUAUUACCUUAUUAUUAGUGUCGUCCAAAACUGGUGCCAGAAGACUCGGUAAGGCCAGAGACACAAACGUUAAUCGUCUUAAUCAGGCGUAAAGGGUUUGUAGGCGGCUUUUUUAUUAAAAUUAUAAUUAUAAAAAAAUUAUAAAAAUUUAAGAACAAAAGCUAGAAUCAAAAAGAGGAAAUUUAAGAAAAUGCUUAGAGUAGGUCUGAUAUCCUUAAAUACUAAGUAGAAUAUUAAAGGCGAAAGCUUUUUUCCAUUAAUGAUUGACGCUCAGAAACGAAGGUGAGGAUAGGAAAUAGGAUUAGAUACCCAAAAUACCCCUCUCUGUCAACGAUGAAUGGUAAUUAUUAAUAAAUUUAUUUAUUAAUGAUAAUGUUAACACGAUAACCAUUCCGCCUUGUGAGUACAACUGCAAAGUUGAAAACAAAAAAAUUAGUCGGUUUCGGAGCAAACGAAGUGAAGCAUGUUAUUUAAUUCGAUAAUCCGCAAAACUGAUA
rnacentral:rRNA from 1 species